rnacentral:lncRNA from 1 species
CUGGUCUCCAGACAGGACCUCUUCAUUCCUAAUUCCCAGAAGCAGAACUCUCGCCUGGCCUCCAAGAGCUCUCCUCCAGGAAGGAGGGACCACACUGACUCGGGCCCUCCCCCAAUUCCUCCUGAGCCCCAACCCUGCCAAGCCUGGGACCCUCCCCAGCUCAGAGCAAAAGUCUGGGCUCUGAGACCAGGAUAACAAUCAUCUUCCACUCAUCCAUUGCUCAUUGGCCUUUCUGACUCGCCUAGCACCAACCGACAGUAUCACGAACUAGUUACUACGCGUUACCAAGGGCUC